UUGGAGGGAACGUCAGUUUCAUGUUCACCUGGUAGAUGAGGACUUUGAAGUUGCGCCUCUUGAGCAGCUCGUUUUCGUUGCCCUCCAGCUUCUUGAUCUGG